GUACUGGUCAAGAUAAAAGUGGAAAGGUAGAGGCAAAGAAACUAGUUAAUGCCCAAUGUUAAAGGUGACAGAAAGUAAGAUAUUGUGGAGGUGAGAUACCAUGCACUGGUGUUUAAUUGAGAGAGAAAAAAGUAACUUAUAAGAUAAUUCUUAGGUUCUAGGGAAAGCACUAAAUGUAAGUUUGGAGCUGGCCUGAGUGCCAGGAGGGUAGUGGUGUGUUUGUUCACCAAGCAUGGGAAUACCAGGGAAGUAAUACAUUUCUGGGGAAAGUCAAUGAAUUCAGAUUUAUGAUGAGUGAGGUUCAGGUGCCUCUUAGACAUUGAGGUGGACACAUUCAGGAAAAGGAUAAAAAUGGGUCAGGAGACCAGGAAGAAGUCUUGUCUCUACUUUUUGUUGUUAUUGUUCAUUUUUCAUUCAUUUUUCCAGAUCUCUAGUCCACUCUAAUUCCCUGACAUAUUACUAAUGAUACUCUGCCAUCUUUUUCCUUUUUCUCUUACAGAUUCUCCAUAAUUCUUUCAUUCGCCUUUCAAUCUCUGUUUAUAUACCAGUAACAAUAAUCCAUAAAAUUUACUGGAUGCUUACAAUGUGCCAUGCUGUAUUUAAGUGCAUUGUAUGAAUCAUCUCAUUUAUUCCUCAUAACAGCCCUUUACAGGGUUUUACAGGUGAAGAAACUGAGGUUCAGAGAACUUGGAGUAGUUUGGCAUGGUCCCAUCUCUGGUAUGGGUGGAGCUGGAAUUCAAACUCAGGUGACUUGGCGUUCUCUAAUGACUCUCAACUUUAUGUCUUAGGCCUAAGGUAAUUCUGUAUCAAGUGCUUCUCUUAAACUCCAUAUUUGUAUGUUGAAGUUCUUAUUGGGUAUUACUACCCUUUGGCGGUUGCCAUUGUAAGAAAAACCCCUUCCUGAUCUCGCCUUACCCAUCUGGUUUUAUCCUGUACCUCUCUCCUUCUCACACUCUACACUUGGGCUCUGCUGAACUACUGGCAGCCGAGCAAAAACACAUACAGUAAUCGAUCUCAUGGCACCCCACAUAUAUCCAUUCUUUGAGAUCAAGGCAUACAUUUCCACAGAUGCCAGGAUUGUUGGUUGUUGCCCACUUAUAGCUGAGAAUUUCUGGGAGAAUUGCCCUCCACCAGCAGGAGGUACCAGGCACAAAGUUAUACCCUCAACCCAUGUGAGCAGCCUGUAUUACAUGACUGAUUGGUGCAGGAGUAUAAGGCCCAGUCCUAUUUCAUCCAAGAGGGACAACUCUGAGGCUACUGCAGCUCAAGAGCUUCUCCCAUAGAAUCGGCUGAGUCCUCUGUUGGAACUCCACUGCUGUUUUAACUUCUUCCUCCACCUUAUCGUGCUCCCUUCACUCUCUGACAAGUGGUUUUCUUUCCAAGAGCCCUCUCCAUAAAUAUGCAUUCAAAUAUAUACCCCACAGUCUGUUUCCUGAGAAGUCUGACCUAAAACAGUUGGUACCAGAGUGGUGCUAGGCAGUGGCUCUAAAAUGAGAUUUUGGAGCUAUAUUACUCUUUGGCUGGCUGGUGGUUAGGACCUCAUUACUGGUGGUAGGUGAAUUUUGAUAGCUCAUGGAAUGCUGUAGCAAAUGUUAAAUCUUUCAUCAGUAGCAAACUGAGAUGGAAUACUGAAAGGGAAUGUCCUGAUGGGUGUACUGCCUCAGACAUUUGAAAAAUUCUAGGAAAGAAGUAAUUAUAAAGACUGUGGAUUCAGAUGGCUUUGGCUGAGUGCUGUCACGUCAUUAGAGAAAAGCAAUGAAGAACUGAGAUUGAUUAAUCUAACACGUAUAGCAAGGAGUGAAAGCCAGAAGGCCUGAGCAUAGAAACCCUGAGGACCAAAACCAGAAAUGGUUUUAAAGUAUAGCAGAGCUCCAGAGAAGAAGGAUAUGUCAGCCCUGACAAAUCUGCUUCAUCAAGGUCAGGACCUUAAUUGGAAAGCAGUGAAGCUCUGAGACUUGGGAUGGGGUCAACUGGGUUUGUGCACUUAAAAAUCUUGAAUCCUUAGUUUCCUCUGAACUCACAGGAGUACCUUAUUCCUUCUUGUUAAAAGCCAUCUCUUCCCCUUUUCUUGCAAUAUUAUAUGAUAACAUAUGCUACAUUUCCCUUUCCCUUUACCCACUACCUAUCUUCACUUUUCCUCCUGGCUAUCAGACCAAUAACUAGUCACCACAUAAUUGGCUAAGUGUUUGGUUGUCUCCUAGGGGAGGAAAGGAACUACAUCCUAAAGCUGCAGGACCUAGCCAACAUGUAUCAGCAGAAACUGGGAGAGAAUAUAUAAGAAUUGAUCCUGAGGUCUUGGAUCAAGGUGGGGUGGGGUUACAACAUAAAUUUCGAUAAAGGAGAACAAAUUCAUAUGAUAACUCUCUCUAUCGACAGAGCAUUUUAAUACCUUGUCAAGGAUCCAAUGGACAGUGCUAACAGGCUGUUGGAGUGACUCUUAGAAGCUUGGAAAAAGAUAUGGCUCAUACUAAGUACAUACUAACUAAAACUGUCAGAACUUCCAUAGCACACAGUAAAAGAAAGGAUCAAAAUGUUCAGGGGAAUGGUUAUGCUAGAGUGGCUCAACUAUGUAAAGCAGUAAACCCAUCUGCUAACCAUGUUUCACUUAAGGGUCCACAUGGUAUUAUCAGAGUGAUAAAGAAUGUACAGAUGAGGCCAAGCACAGUGAAUUCACACCUGUAAUCUAGUGCUUUAGGGGGCUGAGGUAGGAGGAUCACUUGAGGCCAGGAGUUUGAGACCAGCCUGGGAAACAUAGUGAGACCCCAUCUCUACAAACAAAACAAAACAAAACAAAAAAACAAAACAAAAAAACAAAAAACAAAACAAACCAACAAACAACCAAAAACAUAAAAAUUAGCCAGGUGUAGUGGUGCAUGCCUAUAGUCCUAACUAGUCGGGAGGCUGAGGCAGGAGGAUCACUUGAGCCUAAGAGUUCAAGACUUCAGUGAGCCAUUAUUGCACCGCUGCACUCCAGCCUGAGUAACAGAGUGAGACUCUGUCUCAACAACAACAAAAAAAAGUGUGCUGCUGAGAGGGGAACUAGCAUAAAUGAGGAACUCAGUGGUGGCCAUCCUCUGUAGACCAGAGCUGACAGUAGAAGAUGCUGUUAUAGAACUGGGAAUCUGAUAGCAAUAAAGAGGAUGCCAAAAUAACAGAGGUCAGGUAGUAGCAUUUAACUGUUGGUUGCAAGGUGAUCACCAUUACGAUAAUAAAUGAUCAGUCUGAGUAACAGUCCAUGGAGGUGGUUAAUGGAACUUAGUGUGCCUAUGGGCAGCCAACAAGAGUAUGCCUCAUGAAUGCAAUCAGAUAAUUCAAAGGUGGAUAAAAGGAGGUUGAGGGUACUUACCUCAAUAAAAAGUCAAAAUCCCUUGUCUAAUUUCUGGAACCUCAGUUCUCAGUCUCAGAUUGUACUACUUGGUGGAGAGGUCAGUUUUCUAGGAAAAAGACACUUGUAACUCCAUGUUAAACAUAUGUGAUAAUGAUUCCCUCAGUCCUUCCUCAAGGUACCUAUGACUACUUGGAUAGUUGUGCCCUGGGAAAGUGGAAAUAUCCAGUCAUUUUGAAUAGUGUUGUACACUGGGUCUAAGCUGAUGUUGGUAUCCAGGGACCUAAAACACCAUUGAGCCCUCAAAGCAGGAUAUAGGGACCAAUCGAUAAAUGGAGGCCUGGCCCAGUUCCAUUUCACAGUGAGUUCACUAGGUCUAUGGACUCAUUAGAUGAUCAUUUCUCUGGUCCUUAAAUGUAAAAUUGAAAUAAGCAUACUUGGUAGUUGGGAGAACUGCUGUAUUUGUUCUUUGGCCUUUGGACUGGCAUAUCGCUCUACCAACUGGUUAAGAUGACAGUCAUAUCUGGGAGCAAUCGAAUGGACUAAUUAGUGGUACCAUAUCCUCCAUUCAAAUCACUAGUCUAGAUUCUACAAAACAAACAAACAAUAAAAAACAGGUAGACUUUUGCAGAUACUAAGGGGGUAGUAUCCCUAAUUACAACUGCUGUGCUGAGGUGCCUUCACUAGAACACAUUAACACAGCCUCAUAUCCAUGAUAUGUGGUCAUUGAUCUGAAAAAUGUGUUUUCAUUUCCAUCCUUUUCAGAAAGAAGAAUCAGAAGCAGUGUGUGUUCAUAUGGGAUGGGCAGCAUAUAAUGGUUUUGCCCUGUGCUAUGUUAACUAAGGCUCUUUUUCCUGUAGAACAUUAUCUUGGUCCACUGUCUCAAUGCCAUCAUGUUAAUUGGACUGGAUGAGGAAGAAAUGGCAAGUGCAUUGGAGGUUUUGGUAAGACACAUACAUGUGCUCCAAAGAACAGGAGAUGCAUCUAAUGAAGAUUCAAGGACCUGACGUAUCUGUUUUUAGGAAUAUAGCCAUUUGGGACAUGCCAGAACAGCUUUUUGAAAGAAAAGGACAGUCUAAUGCCUCUCAUGUUGUGCACCCCUAAGAAAGAAGCACAGCUUUUUAAAGCCUUAUUUGGGUUCUAGGGACAGCAUAUUUCAUACUUGGAAAUACUGUUCCAACUCAUUCGCCAAGUGACACAAAAGAUUACCAACUUCAUUUGAGACUUCAAGCAAAAAAGAGCUCUCCUACGUGAUUUGCCACCGGAACUUGGUAGAUGGAAAAUAUGGGAGCUCAACUGACCAUGCAGCCAGAAUUGCCCAUCCUAACUUAGGUAUUUCCAACCUCCAUCAAAUCAUAAGGUUGAGCUAAACCAAUAGCAAUCCAUUGUAAGAUCGAAGUGAUAUAUCUGGAAUUGGGAAUUGGCAGAGACAAAAGACAGAAGUUAAGUUUCAGAGGGCACGGACCUCCAGAUAACCUACCAUUGUUAUGCUAUCACCUUUCCCUAAGCUCACCCCUGUUAUACUGUCACCUUUCCCUAAGCUCACCCCUGUUAUACUGUCAUCUUUCCCUAAGCUUACCGUUAUACUGUUGCCUUUCCCUAUAGCCACAUAGGCAUCCCUUUUGACUGACUGACAAAGGAAGAAAAAGUUACACCUGGGUCAUGAAUGGGUUGGCUCUCUAUGGGGGUCCAAGCUGAGAAAGCACUGUUGCUACUCUACAGUUCCACGUUUGGUGUGAGUAGAUAUUCCAUAAUAUUUCUGUAAACCUUCUGAUGGUGUCCCUGAGAGACAGCAAUGAGGAGUAAUACUCUCAAUGUUUAGAGAAUCAGAUGGUCACAGCCAUUUUUAUGGCUGGAGGUAAGAAUAAAUAGGAACUUACAGGAAGUAACCUCUUGUUUGGCUGAUUGGAUGGGGGCUUGGAAAAAGAGCGAUAGAACGAUCAUAGAAAAAAAGAUCUGGGAAAGAGGCGUGUGCCUCUGCCUGUGGCUGUAGAUUGGAAGUUUGAAUGUCUUUGCAUCUCAUGGCACUGCCCACAAGGAAACAUUCACCAAGAAUGAGGCAUUAAACAGCCGUGUAGACAGCAUGACUCAGCCAGUUGAUGUCAUCAGCAUUUCAUUGCCCAAUGCUGGCCUGAUGGAUGCAUGAAGAAACUGAUCAUUGCUGAGGGAUGGGCUCAGUGGCAUUUAUCCUCACUAACCAAGGCUGAUUUAGGUAUUGUUCUCCAACUGCAUCUAGCUGCUGAUUCCCCAGCUUGCUAGCAAAAGAGCUCAUUACUGAGUCUCUGAUACAGCAAAAUCCCUCAGGGAAACCAACCAGCCACUCAGUGGCAAGUUGAUUACACUGGAACCUCUCUAUCCUGGAAAAGGUAGUGAUUCAUCUCGACUGGAAAAGUCACAUAUUGUGGUAUGAGUUUCCUUUUCAUACCCCAAGGCCUCAGCUAGCACCAUCAGAAGAACGGAAUAUCUACCCACACCAUAUAUGGUGGAACAUAGCCUCAGACCAAACAACAAUGUUGUAGGAGUGUACACAUAACCAUGUAUCUAUUGGGUCUGUUACAUUCUGCACCACUCUGAAGUUGCAGGUCUGAAAGAUAGUGGAAUUGACUUUUGAAGGAGCAGCUUAGAUACUGGCUUGAAGAUGAUACCUUGCACAGAUGAGGCAUUAUCUUUCAGGAUGUAAUAUAUACCCUAAAUCAAAGACCCUUUUACAGUUCUAUUCUCCAGUGGGUCCAGGAUGGCUCUACUUAUCAUCACUACCAGUGAAUGACUCAGUUGAGAAAUGUUUCCUCAAUAAUGCAUGUUUUGGUUCUGUGGAUUCUAAACUAGGUUCUGGAUUCUAAAGUGGAAAUUGUUUUACCAGGGGGCCCAGUAAGAGUCCCAUUAAACUUUAAACUACGGCUACUGUAGGGUCAUUUAAGUUUCUUCAUGCCAAGAGUCCAGUAAGCAAUAAAAGAAAACAAUGUUGGUAGAGAAAUGGACAAGUACAGCAGCCACAGUAUGGUGUGGUUACCAGAAGCCUAGGAACUCAGGGAUGACUGUCUGGGUAACCCCACCAGUUUCCCAGAAAAAGAGACCAACCAGAAACUUGAAGGAGCUCUUCCCAGAUGGAAUAAACUUACCGUGUGAAUCACGUGAAUCCAAGGGAUGCAAGGAUUGGCCUAUACUGGAUUGGAUGCUCUGGUAUACUACUCAGAUUUCCUCUUCAGAACUAAUGCAUUUAUCCCCCAGCUACGAAAUUGUUGGCUGCUGGCAGUCUAUAGCUAAUGCAGUCACUGGAAAUUAUCCUUGGUUGAAGGGACCUAACUUGUCCAAGUCUACACCUAUUUCCAGGAAUAGUUCAAUCCAUUGACUUGUUGAUGCAGGACUACACAGGUCAAGCCUUCUUGUUUUGAUGUGGACAAAUCUGAAGGGAUAUCCCAGCUCCAGACCUCUCAUAGGUCUGAGCUAAAGAGACCUCAUAGGUCUGUGUCAAUUUCUGUCUUUACCCAGUCCUGCUUCUCUCAUUCCUUUAUAGGUGUUGUUCUGGAACUUCCUAAUAAACCAACUGCAUGCAAAUAUCUGCCUCAGAAUUUGUUUUCUAAACAGACUUCUCCUAAGGUAGAAGGAAAACUCUCCCUGCUUGCAGGCCUUUCAACAUGCUAACUACUAGGAGCAUCCUCAUCCAUCCUCCUGAGCUUUACCUAAUCCAGUGACUUCUUUUGAUUACACAGAAUUCUUCCCAGGAGUCUCUAAAAGACAAUAAAACCAGGAUGUAACCCUUGGAAGAUUGAUACAUAAGAGUAGGUAGGAAAAGAAGUAGGUACAAGGAUAGAGGGAAAGAUAGGCUGGAGAUGAGAAAAGUUCCCUUAAAACGUUGCAGAACCAAGAAUGCAGGCAUGUCAAGGUGCUGAUGUGCUGAAAGGUUAAACAGUAGUUUUGACUAUGGGUGUCACAUUUUAGCUGUCCUCCUUCCUCUACUUCAACCACAGCCUUUGUGGGUGGCCAAUAACCUAUGUUAUGACCUUUCACACUUAACCUUUAAUAACCACUCUCUUUGUAGUUGGAAUAAUCAGAUUCUCUCUCUUCCUUUUCUUGAGAAUUUGAUUUAGGAAAUGUGAAAAUGGCAGAGUUAGCAGUGGAAGAAGAGUUGAAAGAGACUAUGUAGUUAACCAUGCAUGAGGUUGAGCCUAGGCAAUGAAAGCAGAGACUGUAAUUUAAACUCAGGUCCAACAAAUGCAAGUGGCUUGGAGAGGAGGUUGAAAUGGAUGGGCAAAGAAGUGGAGGCCAAGUGAGAGAGAGAUUCAUAUAGUCCAUGAAAAUGUAGCAGGUAUAAAGUGGGGGCUCCCUGAAGCUACCCUCUCUCUAGUUCUGCUUCCAGCUCCGAUUAAUGUCUCGGUUGUUAUAACAGACUCUCUUCUUCUUCUUCAGAAAACCUGAAUAAGACAUUGUUCUUUGUGAUUAAGGAACCGAACUAAAACAGAAGCCAGGGGAAGAACACAUGUUUUCUUUCUCCCAAUCAAUGCUCUCUCUACUGAAUCCUCUGUCCAUUGUACCUGCAUAGGCCUCCUUCUCUACCACCUGACCAAUAUUCCCUAUACAGCCUACAUAGUGGGAGGAGGGAGGCAAAUGGUCCAUGAGAUAUAAUUCAUAAAAUCUAUACUAAUUAUGCCAUAAGGUGACUGUCUCAAACAACCAGACUAACUCAUUGCCAGUUUUUUAAAAGUAUUCUAAUCCUAUGAUGACUCUGUUACUGAAUAAACAUAUUACCAAUCAUCCUAUUUGUAUGGGUAGGGCUGA